UCUGUCAUAUGACUGAGGCGCUCAUGGGGGUGGUGGGGCUGCUCUAGGAGCGGGGGCCUAGCGAGCGCCCUAAGGAGCGACCCUGGUCUGGCCGUGGUCAGCAUGGCCCCUACGCUGUUCCAGAAGCUCUUCAGCAAGAGGAGCGGGCUGGGCGCGGCCGGUCGGGACGCGCGGGACCCAGACUGCGCGUUCAGUUGGCCUUUGCCAGAGUUUGAUCCAAGCCAAAUUCGACUGAUUGUAUAUCAAGACUGUGAAAGACGAGGAAGAAAUGUCUUGUUUGACUCCAGUGUUAAGAGAAAAAAUGAGGACAUAUCAGUAUCGAAACUCUGUAGUGAUGCUCAAGUAAAAGUCUUUGGGAAAUGCUGCCAACUGAAACCUGGAGGAGACAGUUCUUCCUCACUGGAUAGUUCUGUGACUUCAUCUUCUGAUGUAAAAGACCAGUGUUCGAAGUACCAAGGUUCUCGGUGCUCUUCUGAUGCCAAUAUGCUUGGAGAGAUGAUGUUUGGCUCAGUAGCAAUGAGCUAUAAAGGUUCUACCUUAAAAAUUCAUCAGAUCCGUUCCCCUCCACAACUUAUGCUCAGCAAAGUUUUUACUGCACGGACCGGCAGCAGUAUCUGUGGAAGUCUCAAUACGCUGCAAGACAGUCUUGAAUUCAUCAAUCAGGACAACAGUACAUUAAAGGCUGAUAAUAACACAGUUAUGAAUGGACUACUUGGAAAUAUAGGUCUUUCACAGUUCUGCAGCCCCAGGCGGGCAUUCUCUGAACAGGGUCCGCUCCGCCUGAUCAGGAGCGCCUCUUUCUUUGCAGUUCACAGCAACCCAAUGGACAUGCCUGGAAGAGAGCUGAAUGAAGACCGAGACAGUGGCAUAGCACGCUCUGCAUCUCUCAGCAGCUUGCUUAUUACACCAUUUCCCUCUCCAAACUCCUCACUUACCCGAAGUUGUGCCAGCAGUUACCAGCGACGUUGGCGACGCAGCCAAACAACAAGUUUGGAGAAUGGGGUAUUUCCUAGAUGGUCUAUAGAAGAAAGCUUUAAUCUAUCAGAUGAAAGCUGUGGCCCUAACCCAGGAAUUGUGAGGAAAAAGAAGAUUGCAAUUGGGGUAAUCUUUUCAUUAUCCAAAGAUGAAGAUGAAAAUAACAAAUUUAAUGAGUUCUUUUUUUCACAUUUUCCUCUCUUUGAAAGCCACAUGAACAAACUAAAGAGUGCAAUAGAACAGGCUAUGAAAAUGAGCCGGAGAUCAGCGGAUGCCAGUCAGAGGAGUUUGGCAUAUAAUCGAAUAGUUGAUGCCCUAAAUGAAUUCAGAACAACAAUUUGUAAUCUUUAUACAAUGCCACGAAUUGGAGAGCCUGUCUGGCUUACAAUGAUGUCGGGGACUCCAGAAAAGAACCAGCUUUGCCAUCGUUUCAUGAAGGAGUUCACUUUUCUAAUGGAAAAUGCUUCCAAAAAUCAAUUCUUGCCAGCACUCAUUACUGCAGUUCUGACCAAUCAUCUUGCCUGGGUUCCAACGGUCAUGCCAAAUGGACAACCACCUAUAAAAAUAUUUUUAGAAAAACAUUCCUCUCAGAGUGUGGACAUGUUGGCAAAAACUCAUCCAUAUAACCCACUUUGGGCACAACUAGGGGACUUGUAUGGCGCUAUUGGUUCUCCUGUACGGUUAGCGAGGACUGUGGUGGUUGGCAAACGACAAGACAUGGUCCAGAGGCUGCUUUAUUUUCUUACUUAUUUUAUAAGAUGCUCUGAACUUCAAGAAACCCAUCUUUUAGAAAAUGGAGAAGAUGAAGCCAUUGUUAUGCCAGGCACAGUAAUUACUACCACUUUAGAGAAAGGUGAAAUAGAAGAAUCUGAGUAUGUGCUUAUCACAAUGCAUAAAAACAAAAGCAGUUUGCUCUUUAAAGACCCAGAAGAAACAAGGACUCCUAAUUGUAGCUGUAAAUACUGCAGUCGUCCACUCCUUGGGCAAAAUACAGAGAAUGUUUCACAACAAGAGAGAGAAGAUAUUCAGAACAGCUCUAAGGAGCUGCUAGGAAUUUCAGACGAGUGUCAAAUGAUUUCUCCCUCUGACUGCCAAGAAGAAAAUGCUGUUGAUGUUAAACAGUUCAGAGAUAAAUUAAGAACUUGCCUUGAUACCAAGUUAGAGACUGUUGUUUGCACAGGAUCUGCUCCAGUAGACAAAUGUGCCUUGUCAAAAUCAGGCUUAGAGCCAGCAGAGGAAACAUGGCAUAAUGAGGAAUUGCUAGGUUCAGGUAAUCACACAGGCAAAGUGUUGAGAUCCACAGGAAUGGUUGUGGAAAAAAAACCUCCAGAUAAGCUUGUGACUGCUGCAUUUUCUUGUGAAGCAUCACAGACAAAGGUUACCUUCUUGAUUGGAGAUUCUAUGUCCCCUGACUCAGAUACUGAACUCAGGAGUCAGGCAGUGGUGGAUCAGAUUACCAGGCACCACACCAAACCACUGAAGGAAGAAGGAGGGGCUAUUGAUCAGCAGCAUCAAGAAACUAAACAAACAACUAAGGACCAAUCUGGCAAGUCUGAUAUACCAAACAUGGUUUCUGGAGAGACCUGUGAACCUCCCUGUUGGAAUCAUUCAGACCCAGAAAGCAUGAGCUUAUUUGAUGAAUAUUUUAAUGAUGAUUCAAUUGAAACCAGGACUAUUGAUGAUAUUAUUGCAGUUAAAACAAGUAUAGACAGUAAAGAACACUGCUGUAUGUUAGAAUUUUCAAAAGGAUUGUGUACAAAAAAUAGCAAACAGAACAGUGAAUUUUGUAAAUGUGUAGAAACAGUUCAUCAGGAUUCAUGUAAAACCUGCUUUCCUCAGCAGGACCAAAGAGAUGCACUCUCCAUUCUUGUCCCCCAUGGGGAUAAAGAGAGUUCAGAGAAAAAAAUUGCUGUAGGAACUGAAUGGGACAUUCCACGAAAUGAAAGUUCAGAUAGUGCCCUUGGGGAUAGUGAAAGUGAAGAUACAGGUCAUGAUAUGACUAGACAAGUAAGCAGUUACUAUGGAGGAGAGCAAGAAGAUUGGGCAGAAGAAGAUGAGAUACCUUUUCCUGGGUCAAAAUUAAUUGAAGUGAGUGCUGUUCAGCCAAACAUUGCCAACUUUGGGAGGUCCUUGUUGGGUGGCUACUGCUCAUCUUAUGUGCCUGACUUUGUUCUUCAAGGAAUUGGGAAUGAUGAGAGGCUCCGUCAGUGUCUGGUAUCAGAUUUGUCUCAUGCUGUGCAGGUGAGUUACCUUCACUGCUCUUGAAUUUAUUUAGAAUGAACUUUGUUAACUGGUAGAACCCCCAAGUUACCGUAUAUUUUUGGUCAUACUUCACUAUGUAACACAAUCAUUGUUCUCUUAAUCUGUCACUUUUGUACCUGUCACCAUGAAAGCAAGUAGAGAGUUUCAGGAAUCUAUACAAACAUAAAUCUGAAAUACAGAAAGUAUUGUUUGUAUCCAUGGAUGUUCAUCAUCAGGUCAUUUAUGAUAUCAAAAAAAUUGCAAAUGCUUAAAUGUGAAAGCAAUUAUUUUUUCAAUUUCAUUUUCAGAUUGUUCAUUGCUUAUAUAGAAGUACAACUGAUUUUUGUAUAUUAAUCUUAUAUUCUUCUACCUUGCUAAACUUUUUUUUAAGAUUUAUUUAUUUUAGGGGCGCCUGGGUGGCUCAGUCAUUAGGCGUCUGCCUUCAGCUCAGGUCAUGAUCCCAGGGUCCUGGGAUUGAGCCCCGCAUUGGGCUCCCUGUUCUGCGGGAAGCCUGCUUCUCCCUCUCCCACUCCCCCUGCUUGUGUUCCCUCUCUCAUUGUGUCUCUGUCAAAUGAAUAAAUAAAAUCUGUAAAAAAAAAAAAAAAAUUUGUUUUAGAGAGAGAGAGGGAGCAUGUGAGGGAGGGGCAGGGGGGAGGGAGACAGAGUCUUGAGCAGACUCUGCAUUGAGUGUGGAGCCUGACAUAGGGCUCGAUCUCAUAACCCUGAGAUCAGGACCUGAGCUGAUACCAGGAGUCAGAUGCUUAACCAGCUGUACCACCCAGCUGCCCCAACCUUGCUGAACUCUUUUAUUAGUUCUUGUAAUUUUCUGUGUGGAUUCCUUAGGUUUUUCUACAUACACGUUCUUGUCAUUGAUGAAUAGACAGUCUUGCAUCUUCCUCCCCAGUCUGGAUGCCUUUUGUCUUUCUUGCCUGAUUUUUAUGGGCUAGAACCUUCAGUACAGUGUUGCAUAGAGGUGCUAAUAGUGGACAUCCUUGUCUUCUUCCUCAUACUAGGGGAAAACAUCGACUCUUUCAUGAUUAAGUAUGAUGUUAGCUGUGGGAUUCUUAAAGAUGCCCUUUAUCAAAUGGCGAAAGUUUCCUUCUAGUCCUAGUUUCUUUGUUCCCUCCACCUUUAAAUCAUGAAUGGAUAUGGCAUUUUGUCUAAUACUUUUUCUGUGCCUACUGAUAUGAUCAUUUGGCUUUUCUUCCUUAAUCUGUUAAUGUGAUUGAUUACAUUAGAGGUGGUAGAUUUUUAGAUGUUAACCAACUUCUGUAUUCCUAGGGAAAAAAUCCCACCUGGUCAAAGUAUAUAGUUGUUUUUAUAUAUUACUAGAUAUGAUUUGCUAAUAUUUUAUUACAAAUUUUAGAAUCUGUAUUCAUGAGGGAUAUUAGUGUAUAGUUUUCUUGUGAUACAUUUGUCUGGCUUUAAUAUCAGAAUAAUACUUGCCUCAUAGAAUGAGAUGAGAUGUGUUCCCUCCUCUAUUUUCUGGAAGAGUUUCUGGAAGGUUGGUAUUAUUUUUUCUCCAAAUGUUGGAUACGAUUCACCUGUGAAGUCAUUUGGACCUGGACUUUUUAAAAUGAGAAUAUUUUAAAUUGCUGAUUCAAUUUCUUGUUCUAGAUCUAUUCCAAGUUUCUAUUUCUUCCUGAGUCAAUCUUGGUAAUUUUUGUCUUUCUAGGAAUUAGUUACAUUUAAAUGAUUUCAUUUAUCUGUUGGAAUAAAAUGGUUCAUAGCAUACAUUUAUAAUCUUUUUUAAAAUUUUUUUUCAAAGAUUUUAUUUGAGAGCAAGCGAGAGAGAGAGAGAGAGAGGAAGAGAGAGCACAAGCGGCAGGGACGGGCAGAGGGAGAAGGAGAAGCAGACUCCCCUUGAGCAGGGAGCCUAAUGUGGGGCUCAAUCUCAGGACUCAGGGAUCAUGACCUGAGCCAAAGGCAGACACUUAACUGACUGAGCCACCCAGGCGCCCCCAUUUAUAAUCUUUUUAAUUUCUGUAAGUUCAUUGGUCAUGUCCUCUCUUUCAUUCCUGAUUAUUGUAAUCUGUGGUUUUUCUUUUUUUCCCCUCCUAAAAGUAGAAUAUUCCAAAGAAGAUUUCAUUCAUGACUUGACUUCAUUAAUAGUUAUUUUUGGCCCAUAUGCAUCAAAGAUGAGUAGGCUGUGGCCCAUGGGACAAAUAGGCUUUUUUAAAUUAAGUUUUACUGGAACAUGACUACACCCAUUUAUUUAUAUACUUUGUGACUGUUUUCCUGCUUCAGGAGCAGAGUUGAGUCACUGAGACAGAGACCUUAUGGCCUCUAGAGCCUAAAAUAUUUUCUCUCUCAGGCUCUUUAUAGAAGAAGUUGGCUGAUUCCUAUCCUAGCUGAAGGUGUGUUAAUUUUAUUAAUCUUUUCAAGGAAAACAACUUUUGUUUUCACUGAUUUUCUCUAUUUUUUGGUCUUUUUUUUUUUUCAUUAAUUUCUAUCCUCAUCUUUGUUAUUUCUUCCCUUCUGCUUGCUGUGGAUGUAGUUUGCUCUUUUUUUUGUUAAGGUAGAAGAUUAGGUUAUUAAUUUGAGGUAUUUUUUCUUUUCACAUAUAGGCAUUCAGCUCUAAAUUGUCCUCUAAGCACUGCUUUAACCGAAGCUCAUAAAUUUCAGUGUUUUGUUUUCAUUUUCAUUCACUUCAAAAUAUUUUCUAAUUUUCCUUGCCAUUUCUUUGACCCAUGGUUUAUGUAGAAGUAUGUUUUUGAUCUCCAAAUAUUUGUGGAAUUCUUAGAUUUCCUUUUCUUCAUUUCUAAAUUGGUUCCAUUGUGGUCAGAGAACAAACUUUGUAUGAUUUUAGUCCUUUUAAAUGUAUUGAGUCUUGUUUUCUGGCCCAGCAUGUGGUGUGUCCUGGAGAAUGUUGCACAUGUAGUUGAAAAAAUAGUCACCUGUUGGGGCGCCUGGGUGGCUCAGUUGGUUAAGCAUCUGCCUUUGGCUCAGGUCAUGAUCCCGGGGUCCCUGCUCGGCGGGGAGCCUGCUUCCCCUUCUCCCUCUGUGUGCCACUGCCACUAUGCUCUCUCUCUCUCUUUCUCUGUCAUAUAAAUAAAUAAAAUCUUAAAAAAAAAAAAAAAGCUGCCUGUUUUUGGGCAGAAAGUACUCUAGAUGUCAGGUCAAGUUGGUUGUGAUAGCAUUUAGGUUUCUGCAUUCUUGCUGAUUUUUCCACGUUCUUGCUGAUUUUUUGUGUAGUUGUUCCAUCGUUUAUUGAGCAUGGAGUAUUGAAGUCACCAGCUUUUGUUGAGUUUUCUAUUUCUUUCUUCAAUUCCAUGUGUCAUUCUAAUAAUUUUUUUUUUUUAACAAAACCUUCUCCUUUCCCAUUGUGAGAACAUCUUUAGGAAUGGAGAAAGCCAACUGGAAAUCAUGGGUGAGAAAAUAAUGGCUCAUUGAGCAAGCAUUCCCUUAAUUAUUAGCUAGAAAGGUUUAAACCUCCUGUGUUUGUAGUAAAUUAUCUUAAGUUCUAAAGUUUGGUGUUUUAUUGUAUAGUAGGGAAAUUCAGAAAAAUCUAGAUAUAAAAACAAAGUUUAAAAGAAAACUUACCAAAACUCGUGUUCUUGGGGUGCCUGGGUGGCUCAGUCGUUAAGCGUCUGCCUUCAGCUUGGGUUAUGAUGGGAUCGAGCCCCCAUCAGGCUCCCUGCUGGGUGGGAAGCCUGCUUCUCCCUCUCCCACUCCCCCUGUUUGUGUUCCUUCUCUCUCUGUCAAAUAAAUAAAUAAAAUCUUAAAAACAAAGAAACAAAAAAACUCGUGUUCUUUAUAUUUAAAAGCCAUCUUGCUCAACGCUUUAACACCAAUCAAAUAAAUACUUACUGACAUAUUGUGUUCUGAACAUGAUGCUGAUUGUCCAAGGAAUAUAUGGAUGAAAAAUAAAUAACUUCUGAAGUUAUUUACUCAGUAAUGGAGGAAGUAAGGGAUGUACGUAUAUGAGUAAGUGUAAUACAACACAUAAAAAAAUAAAUGCCUGAGACAGAUACUAAUAAGUAAUUUAAUGCUUCACAGGAAAGAAUUUAUAUCACUUAAUGGCAUUUGUUCUUCAGAAUAUAGCAACCUUUUCUAUUUUUUUCAAUUCUGUCCUCCCAUUGCCUGAUAGAGUAUUCAGUAUUUGUUGAAAUACUUGGUUAGGAAAUCUGAUGUGGGUCCUUGUGAUGCUCUUUGUGUCCUCUUGUCUUUCUUUUCUGUUUGAUCUCAGUCAUUCAGUAUCUUUUUCCGCCCCCCCCAUCUAUACCCAUUAGCACACACUACGUUCUUUGAUGUUGCCUCUGGAGGCCUGGAACUGGAGGGGGUGACUGUCUCCUAUUGAAGACAAAACAUUUCUGUUUUUAAAGGGUUUUUACCUUAGGAAUAGGAGCAAUAGUAAUAAUAAUAAGCAUUUAGUUUUUAUUGUAGCCUUAAUGUGUGUCAGGUACUUAAAUGUAAUACCUCACUUAAUUUUAUGGUACUUACUAUUAUCAUUCCUAUAUUUCAGAUAUAGCACAGAGAGGUGUUUGAAGUUACAUUAGAUAGGGGAUGGCAGAGCUAGAAAUCAGUCCUGAUCUGCCUGUUCUUCAGCAAUGCUCUUAAGUGUCUGUGCUUAAUAUAUACAAAACACUGUCUCUAAAACAGAUGAACAAAGGUAAAUAUAAAUAAAAUAGCAAAAUUGGCAUUAACAAAGCUUGCAAGACUUUUAUAUUAGGAGUUCCACUUCUCUUGCUCUGGGAAUCAUUCCACUAUGGUGAAAGGUAAGAGCUUUCCAUCUUCUGCCCUUUGUUUUCAUAACUGGGUUUCUAGUCUUUCCCUCUUAUAUUUUCAUUUAAGUAUAUAAGAUAUUUUACUAUCAAAGCAGAUCACAGAAGAUUUUGAGGAAGUGAAAACUAAAAUACCAAACUUAAGCACUAACAGGUUGGAUUUUUUAUCAUUUGCUUUUCUCUCUUCAUUAUAAAGUUUACAUUUAAUGAUUUUAAUUAUUGUUUGCUAAUAAUUUUUUACCAUCACAUUUAACAUGAAAACUAUUUCUUAUAUGCCUACAUGGAAAACCCCGUAGGAAUCUUUUAAUAGAUAAAUCAUGAGGAUAGUACUUUUGAAAAAAAUACAAUCUUAUUCUUCUGAACUGUUUUAGUAGAGUGUCUUUUCUUUUACUCCUCAGUUUCUAAGAAAGUGGCAUUUUUCUUAUUACCAAAUUAAAUAUAUAUUUACUAUAUAAAAGAUUGAAAUGUGUAGAAAGCUAAACACAAGUUUUCCCAAGUCUGCCAUUCAUUGGCAGCCAUCCUUUUUUUAAAUUAAUUAAUUUAUUUUUACUAUGUUCAAUUAGCCAGCAUAUAGUACAACAUUAGUUUUUGAUGGCAGCCAUUCUUAAUAUAAAGACCUCUUCCAGUCAUUAUGUAGUAUGUGGCAUCUGAUGAAACCCAGACUUGCCACUUCCUAUCUGUGUAUCCUAAGACAAGAUAUUUAAUUUUAUAGAACCUCAGUUUCCUUGGCUGUAAUGAAAGUGGUAUUAAUGUUUAUGUACCAGAGUUAUACUAUGUGGUGUUUUGUGUAUAUUAGGUACUCUCUGUCUUACACCUUUUUGUCAUAGUUACUCUAUGUGUGUGUGUGCGUGUGUGUGUGUGUAUAUAUAUAUAUAUAUAUAUGCAUUUUAUAUACAUAUAUAACUGGGGCCUUAUGUGUGUGUGUGUGUGUAUAUAUAUAUAUAAAAUACUAUUAAGUGAUACAAAUUCUUUUUUUACAGAUACACAUUUUUUUAUAUAUAGUAUAUAUGUAUAUAGGGUUUGGAAGUGCAAAGGGAGAGGGAGAGAGAAUCUCCAGCAGAUUCCCCACUGAGUGAGGAGCCCGACAUGGGGCUGGAUCUCAAGACUCUGAGAUCAUGAUCUGAGCUAAAAUCAAGAAUCAGAUGUUUGACUGACUGAGCCACCCAGCAUCCAGUGUUGGAUGAACCAAUAGCAGAGGCUGUCUGUAUUAUAGCAGAUAUGGAUAAAUGGACUGU